rnacentral:rRNA from 1 species
UACGGAGGGUGCGAGCGUUUGUCCGGAAUUAUUGGGCGUAAAGAGCUUGUAGGCGGUUUGUCGCGUUCUGCUGUGAAAUUUCGGGGCUCAACCCCGAACUUGCAGUGGGUACGGGCAGACUAGAGUGUGGUAGGGGAGACUGGAAUUCCUGGUGUAGCGGUGAAAUGCGCAGAUAUCAGGAAGAACACCCGUGGCGAAGGCGGCUCCUCUGGUACGUGACUGACGCUGAGACGCGAAAGCGUGGGGAGCGAACAGG